AGGCACACCAGCUGCAGGGUUAUGCCUGAUUCCUGCACAGGUCAUUUAUUUGUUGGCAUUAGCAAGAUUUGAAUUAGACACUGAACUAGAUGAAGACUCAGAUUGUUUGUGAUAACUGUCAACAGUAGCUGCAAGAAGAUGCCAACAGCUGUCAUAAGAAGUGGAGCAGCACUGGAGUUCAGCACUGAACUAAGGUCGGCCCCGCCCUCCGGCACAGCCUGCACCAGCUCAAUGGCAUGAAUCAGCCAGGUGUCCUGGAGGGCCUGAGAGGGACCAUGGUGAUGAUGAGAUCGGGAGAAGAAAGUCAGAUUGGAGCAUACUCGCCCCAUGGAGAGGACAAAUUGGAUUCAUGACCAGACCUCCGAGAGGCUGCGUCUCCAGGCAGCUGGUGGGGAGCUGUCUGGAAACAAACACAUUUUCCAGCUCGCUCGACCCUCACAUUUCCAGAGCAGAAGGAUGGCUAUGAUGUGAGCUCAGAUUAUGUGCAGUGGUUGCUUAAAACUUGGUGGGUCCAAUGGAGAUGGAGCCAUGUCAUCCUGUUCGUCACCUUCAGGGUGUCCCGCAGCACAGUGUGGUGCGCGCACCUGUCUGCGUUCACCGUAAGUCAUCGCUGCACCUGCAUCCUGUGGCCUUUAUGCGAUAGUGAUCAUAAUGGUAUAAGAAGCAUGCUGUGAUGUUGAGUCAAUUGGUUGCCCAAUCAUAGACAUCUUUCACCAACAGAGUAACAGGUAAGAAAAGGACCAUUUUAAUAUGUUGCACCAAUUG
rnacentral:lncRNA from 1 species